GGUGUAGCCCAAAAACCAAAAAAAAAAAAAAAAAAAAAAGAAAAAUAUUAGCAUGGCCCCUACGCAACGAUGACACGCAAAUUCGUGAAGCGUUCCAUAUUUUU